rnacentral:rRNA from 1 species
CAAGGAUUGAGACGGCGGGGAGGAGACAUUAAUGAGUUACUAAACUCCAAAACCCUUUGUGGAGACCUUACCGUCGUUUCCUCGGCGUGUGCUGCGGCUACCUGGAGCUUACCCUGGAAGGCACCUACCCUGUAGGUUAGGUACCUACCCUGGAGCUACCCUGUAGCCGCGUGAAGGCCCGCCGAAGGACCGCUAAACUCUUGUUUUUUACAACUGUAUCUCUGAAUACGUAACUGAAAUAAGUUAAAACUUUCAACAACGGAUCUCUUGGUUCUGGCAUCGAUGAAGAACGCAGCGAAAUGCGAUAAGUAAUGUGAAUUGCAGAAUUCAGUGAAUCAUCGAAUCUUUGAACGCACAUUGCGCCCAUUAGUAUUCUAGUGGGCAUGCCUAUUCGAGCGUCAUUUCAACCCUUAAGCCCUGUUGCUUAGUGUUGGGAGUCUACGGCUUCGGCGUAGUUCCUGAAAAUCAGUGGCGGAGUUAGGGUACACUCUCAGCGUAGUAAUUUAUCUCUCGCUCGUGUGGUGGCCCUGGCUGCUGGCCGUAAAACCCCCUAUUUUCUAGUGGUUGACCUCGGAUUAGGUAGGAAUACCCGCUGAACUUAAGCAUAUCAUAGGCGGGAGGAAUA